ACCGUCCUAGGCAUUGCAGGUGUGGCCGCUGUGUCACGUGAGCGUCAGUAGAUGACAGAGAGGAAAGAGGCUAUCUCUAUGCUCAGUGUUCGGACCCGUGAACACCCCGAUGAUUAGUGACCUAACAUC
ensembl:snoRNA